CAGGCUAUGUGGAUGUAAUCUCACUGCUCAGUCCUGUGAAAGUUUGUCUUCAGCUCUACAAUCCUCAAACUCAAACAUCCUGAGAGAGCUGGACCUGAGUAACAAUGACCUGAAGGAUUCUGGAGUGAAGCUUCUUUCUGAUGCACUGAAGAACCCAAACUGUCAGUUGGUGAUUCUGAGGCUAUGUGGAUGUAAUCUCACUGCUCAGUCUUGUGGAAGUUUUUCUUUAGCUCUACAACCAUCAAACUCAAACAUCCUGAGAGAGCUGGACCUGAGUAACAAUGACCUGAAGGAUUCUGGAGUGAAGCUUCUUUCUGAUGCACUGAAGAACCCAAACUGCCAGCUGGAGAUUCUGAGGCUAUGUGGAUGUAAUCUCACUGCUCAGUCUUGUGGAAGUUUUUCUUUAGCUCUACAACCAUCAAACUCAAACAUCCUGAGAGAGCUGGACCUGAGUAACAAUGACCUGAAGGAUUCUGGAGUGAAGCUUCUUUCUGAUGCACUGAAGAACCCAA